AUUUGACAGUCAGGCUUGAUUUUACUUAACUUGACAAAAAAAAUUUUAAUCUUUCAGUUUCGACUCUGUUUGGUCACCGAAAGCUCUACCGAACUGUAAUCUCUAGCAGAUAGCAGUUGGAUUUUAUUUUUCACCUUCCGGGUGUCAGAAUGAUAUGAAACUUUAAAUCUAGCCUCAUAAAAAUAAUUCUGACAUAUUUUUCUGUUUUCAUUCCGAUUUUAGCACAAGUUACUUCUGACUCAUAUUUUACUUCUCUGAGUCCAAUAAAAAUAGCAUCUCACACUAUUUUUAUUUAUUUUUACUUUAUAUCAAAAUCCGGUAUGUUACACAUGA
rnacentral:lncRNA from 1 species